UACGUAGGGGGCAAGCGUUGUCCGGAAUCAUUGGGCGUAAAGCGCGCGUGGGCGGCCCGGUAAGUCCGCUCUGAAAGUCCAGGGCUCAACCCUGGAAAGCGGGUGGAUACUGCCGGGCUAGAAUCCGGAAGAGGCGAGUGGAAUUCCUGGUGUAGCGGUGGAAUGCGCAGAUAUCAGGAGGAACACCGAUGGCGAAGGCAGGUCUCUGGGCAUUAACUGACGCUGAGGAGCGAAAGCAUGGGGAGCGAACAGG
rnacentral:rRNA from 1 species